UUGAGGAACACAGCCUUAAGUCACUUAGAGUCUACAGGUAAUAUGUGACAGAAAUCAAAUAUAAACCCAGGUACUGUGGCUCUGUAGGCUGUGUCCUUAUCUACUGCAUUGUAUCACCUGUAAGUCUAAAAUUGUACUUUACGUAUUUUCUUUUAUCCAAGCUAUUUCUUAAAAAGAAGACAGAAGAUAGAAUUUUAUCAGAUUCAGAGAGCUGUGAUUCCACUCAGUCAAUGAAUCCUGAUACUGAAGGAGGCACAGAAAUGAUGGGAAAACUGAAAUCAACUGUCAGGAAGAUGCAAUUGAUCAGAAUCUGUUAAUAAACGAAGUCAACUGCUCUUCUUUCUGUUACAGGAUAUCAUCAUCAUCAUCAUCAUUUAACCUCUGAAGGAAAUGAGGGACAAUUUCCAUAUUUUCUAUUUCUUCAUCCCUAGUAAGUUGGCAAGUUAGAGGUAGUAGGAUCUAAUCCAGAAAGGCUAGUCCAUAUCCCAUAAUCUUUAAAUUAUGUAAUUGAUCAUCCAAGCUUAUUCUCUUAAUUAGAAUUUGUCAUUUUGAAGUUCCCUGUUGGCCUAGCGGUUAAGGACUUGGCAUUGUCACUGCUGUGGUUGUCUCUGCUGUGGUCUGGAUUCAUUCCCUGACCCAGGAACUUCCAUGUGCCAUGGAUGGGGAAAAAAAAAAAAAUUGUCAUUUUAUGCUAAAUCUCAAUCUGAUACAACUUCCAACAAACAUAAAACUGCCCAAAAAUUUAUUUUAGGGCAGACAAAAAAAUAAAAGACUUAAAAACACCGAUAGUAGAAUAUAU
rnacentral:lncRNA from 1 species